CGCACCUUGCACCCCUUGGUAUUCCGAGGGGUACGCCUGUUUGAGUGUCGUGAAUUAACCAUCGACCUUCGUGCUUGCGCGAAGUGUUCGGACUUGGGCGUUGCUCGUGGCUUCGGCCUUCCGGCUCGCCUCAAAUUCAUUUGCGAUCGAGGAACCCCGACGCGUGUUGAUAUACGUCUACGCACGUUAGGGCGAUCCGUCCGCACCAUAAUUCAUUCUGACCUUUUGACCUCAAAUCAGGCGGGGCUACCCGCUGAACUUAA
rnacentral:misc_RNA from 1 species